AAACGUUGAAACAUUGACACUGAUGUCCUGGUGCCAGAGGCCACAAUUGGCAUCCUAGUGAGAUUUGAGGGUUUUUCCAGAUUGGAUGCAGAGAAAAUCCUUGCAACAAUCCUCGAGUGAUCAGGCUCUGGAUCAAUCAAGAUGCUGACUGUUUCUUUUGUUACUGUACUGUAGGCUACUUAAGUUGAAAUUUUAAUUUAAACUUUUUCAUUUUUGUAUUUCA